rnacentral:rRNA from 1 species
GAUGAACGCUGGCGGCGUGCCUAAUACAUGCAAGUCGAGCGAACGGACGAGAAGCUUGCUUCUCUGAUGUUAGCGGCGGACGGGUGAGUAACACGUGGAUAACCUACCUAUAAGACUGGGAUAACUUCGGGAAACCGGAGCUAAUACCGGAUGAUAUUUUGAACCGCAUGGUUCAAAAGUGAAAGACGGUCUUGCUGUCACUUAUAGAUGGAUCCGCGCUGCAUUAGCUAGUUGGUAAGGUAACGGCUUACCAAGGCAACGAUGCAUAGCCGACCUGAGAGGGUGAUCGGCCACACUGGAACUGAGACACGGUCCAGACUCCUACGGGAGGCAGCAGUAGGGAAUCUUCCGCAAUGGGCGAAAGCCUGACGGAGCAACGCCGCGUGAGUGAUGAAGGUCUUCGGGUCGUAAAACUCUGUUAUUAGGGAAGAACAUAUGUGUAAGUAACUGUGCACAUCUUGACGGUACCUAAUCAGAAAGCCACGGCUAACUAUGUG